rnacentral:lncRNA from 1 species
GGAUCCAGCCAGCACCUUGGCGCCACGUGUCAAACCAUGCGGCCGUACUGUUCUGAACAUUUAAAAAAAAAGGGUUAAAAGCGCGUAUAGCCGCGCGGCUAUACUAUUUAAAAAAAAUUAAGAAAAUCUAGUAUAGCCGGGCGGCUGUACUAUUUAUAUACAUAAUAGGGAUCCAGCCAGCACCUAGGCGCCACGUGUCAAACCAGGCGGCCGUACUGUUCUGAACAUUUAAAAAAAAAAAAAAAGGGGUUAAAAGCGAGUAUAGCCGCGCGGCUAUACUAUUUCAAAAAAAAAUUUUAAAAAUCUAUUAUAGCCGGGCGGCUGUACUAUUUAUAUACAUAAUAGGGAUCCAGCCAGCACCUAGGCGCCACGUGUCAAACCAUGCGGCCGUACUGUUCUGAACAUUUUUUUAAAAAAAAAAAAGGGGUUAGAAGCGAGUAUAGCCGCGCGGCUCUACUAUUUAAAAAAAAAUUUAAGAAAAUCUAGUAUUGCCGGGCGGCUAUACUAUUUAUAUACAUAAUAGGGAUCCAGCCAGCACCUUGGCGCCACGUGUCAAACCAUGCGGCCGUACUGUUCUGAACAUUUAAAAAAAAGGGUUAAAAGCGAGUAUAGCCGCGCGGCUGUACUAUUUAAAAAAAAAUUUAAAAAUCUAUUAUAGCCGGGCGGCUGUACUAUUUAUAUACAUAAUAGGGAUCCAGCCAGCACCUAGGCGCCACGUGUCAAACCAUGCGGCCGU